UGAAACUUUCGGCCUCCCAUAUCAGUUUGUCUUCUGCAUUUUUUGAAAUGUAAACUCAUUCAAAAUGCCUGUCAACUGAGAAAUAAUCUCAUUAGAGACUCUAUUAUAAGAGCAAUUAAGAUUCUAAACGACUUCUAGAGCCUCUUCUCGCAUAUAGCUCAACGACCUUCACCUGUGUAUGCAAAAUCGUCUCAAAUAACUCAGAAUAAACAUGUUUUAAAGGCCAUCCGCGGAAAUUGAAUCCUAUCAUCCCACCCAAUUAUCCACCAGCCACUGAUUCACAGUAGACCGUGGUACGCCAUAUCCAAAAUCGUCUCAAAUAACUCAGAAUAAAUAUGUUUUAAAGGGCCUUCCGCCGAAAUUGAAACUUAUCACCCCACCCAAUUAUCCACCUGGUAUAAUUUUCAGCCACCGAUUUCCAGUAGACCUUGGUACGCCAUGUAGUGAAACCCUCAAAUCAAACCAAAACCAGCUCAAUAACCGAAUGUGAUUAGAAUCUAUGUAGGUCUUAUAGAACAGCAGAGUACCAAUUGAAGAACCCAAAAUGUAUUGGCCCUGAACGAGACCAAUGCCCCUAGACUUAGCAUAAUCCAAUUUGAGGGUCAGAUGAGAGUUUGGCCCAGUGAUAAUGCCAGGUUUCGGGCCGUGGAAUCAUUCUAAAAGAAAGAGUUCCAUAUACUCGUGAUACUUCUGAGUGCACCCAAAAUCUUGACCUUGAUCUUCCAAGUUUAUUUCUCUCUUUGAGUUCAAGGUGUAGUGUUUAGUUUGCUGUCUUCAUCAGAGAGAGAGAGGCAGAGGCAGAGAGAAAAAGAGGGAAAAGGGGAAAAAGUUGGGCUAGGCUAAAGAGAGAGACGACACACGAAUAAGAAAUGGAGAGCGAAAGGGUGGGAGCAAGCUAUUGUGCGGCGAGCUCGCUGCUGUGCAUUGAGAGAGAGACGCGCAAGCCAGAGGGCUUCUUCUGAGACAUAGAAGGCAGAGGUGGGUGGUUGAGAAAGAGAGACGCCCAAGCCAGAGGGCUUCUACUGAGACAUAGAAGGCAGAGGUGGGUGGUGGAGAAAGAGAGACGCCCAAGCCAGAGGGCUUCUUCUACUGCAACCAAAGAGAGAGAGAGACGCACAAGGUAGAGGGGGAG
rnacentral:lncRNA from 1 species